rnacentral:tRNA from 1 species
GUUCCUGUAGUUGAAUUACAGCAGUGGUUUUUCAGGUCACUGGUCCUGGUUAAAGUCCUGGCGGGAAUA